AGGCAGCACAAGAAGACUCUGCGUAUGAGCCAAAAAGGUCCGAUCCCAUACCAGCUAUAUCCCCAACAUUAUCACCAACAUUAUCAGCAAUCACAGCUGGAUUCCUCGGGUCAUCCUCAGGAAUGUUCCUUUCUACCUUGCCAACAAGAUCAGCACCAACAUCAGCAGCUUUGGUGUAGAUACCUCCCCCCACUCUGCCAAAGAGGGCCAUGGAAGAUCCUCCAAGACCAUAACCAGUUAUAGCCUCAAAAAGACCAGCCCAGUCAUCACCAUAGUACAGUUUAAAGAGGUUGAUAGCAAUGAAAAGCACCAACAGACCAUUUGCAGCAAGGAGAAAACCCAUGACAGCACCAGACCUGAAUGCAGUGAUAAAAGCCUUCCCAACUCCUUUUCUUGCCUCAAGGGUGGUUCUAGCAUUUGCAUAUGUAGCAAUUUUCAUCCCAAGGAAGCCAGAAACUACAGAAGUGAAAGCACCAAGCAAGAAGGACACCGUGCUGAAGACAGCAGUUGCUAGGGCAGGCUUGCAUGUCUUCAAUGGGUCAUAGGUGCAAGGUUGAGUCUUGGUGCUGAAUCCCUCAACAGAGCCGAGGAAUAGGAAAAUAAGGAUUGCAAAAGCAAGCAUGAAAAUUCCAACAUACUGAUAUUCAGUGAAAAGGAAGGAAGUUGCCCCUUCAGAUAUGGCACUUUGAAUGUCGGCGCAUUUAAGGACGACGUUAUGGUCAUUGAGACCCUCCUCCUCUUCAAUAAGAUAGUCACUGUACCCAUUCUUCC
rnacentral:misc_RNA from 1 species